GCUGGGCAUGGUGGCUCAUGCUUGUAAUCCCAGCACUUUGGGAGGCUGAGGCGGGUGGAUCACCUGAGGUCGGGAGUUUGAGACCAGCCUGACCAACAUGGUGAAACCCCGUCUCUA
rnacentral:sRNA from 1 species